rnacentral:rRNA from 1 species
ACGAAAGUCUGAUGGAGCAACGCCGCGUGAACGAUGAAGGCCUUCGGGUCGUAAAGUUCUGUUGUAAGGGAAGAACAAGUGCCGCAGGCAAUGGCGGCACCUUGACGGUACCUUGCGAGAAAGCCACGGCUAACUACGUGCCAGCAGCCGCGGUAAUACGUAGGUGGCAAGCGUUGUCCGGAAUUAUUGGGCGUAAAGCGCGCGCAGGCGGCCUCUUAAGUCUGAUGUGAAAGCCCCCCGGCUCAACCGGGGAGGGCCAUUGGAAACUGGGAGGCUUGAGUAUAGGAGAGAAGAGUGGAAUUCCACGUGUAGCGGUGAAAUGCGUAGAGAUGUGGAGGAACACCAGUGGCGAAGGCGACUCUUUGGCCUAUAACUGACGCUGAGGCGCGAAAGCGUGGGGAGCAAACAGGAUUAGAUACCCUGGUAG